AAGGGAAUCCCUCACAGAGCACCAAUGGGAGGAGGUUAUUACAGAUUAUUAGAAAUCCUUACUCUUUUAGUUUAAUUACCCCUGAUAUCCCCAAAUACGAAGUAAAUAUCACAAUGCUCAUGCAACACACGAGCUUUUACAGAGGAGGUUGUGGGAGAACCACAAAAUAUCUAAUGUACAGAACAACAGUAGCAGCAAGGAUGUGAAAACGUUAAAAGGGUUCAAAGAAUAAGACGUGAAGGAGGCAAGGAUGGGAAGAAGAUUUGAAGGAGUUCCAAGUGAGAUUAUUUUGGUAUAAAAU